CACUCACAUCCCCAUUGAAGUCCUUUUGGUGGUGACAGGCGUUAUCAUAAGUACUAUGACUGGUUUGCAGCUAUGCCGCCUCAUACAAAGCAAACUGCAAUGUACUCUGACACCUUUCUAUCAUAACCAACAUUCAAUUUUUCAGUAAUCUGAGCUACGGUAGCUCUUCUGUGUGAUCGGACCAGAUGGGCUAGCUUUCGCUCCCCACGUGCAUCCGUGAGUCUUGGGCACCCAUGACCC